rnacentral:rRNA from 1 species
GAUGAACGCUAGCUACAGGCUUAACACAUGCAAGUCGAGGGGCAGCAUGAACAUAGCUUGCUAUGUUUGAUGGCGACCGGCGCACGGGUGCGUAACACGUAUCCAAUCUACCCAUGGCUCGGGGAUAGCCUUUCGAAAGAAAGAUUAAUACCCGAUGGUCUCGGUUUAAGGCAUCUUAGACUGAGUAAAGAUUUAUCGGCGAUGGAUGAGGAUGCGUCUGAUUAGGUAGAUGGCGGGGUAACGGCCCACCAUGCCUACGAUCAGUAGGGGUUCUGAGAGGAAGGUCCCCCACAUUGGAACUGAGACACGGUCCAAACUCAUACGGGAGGCAGCAGUGAGGAAUAUUGGUCAAUGGACGAGAGUCUGAACCAGCCAAGUAGCGUGAAGGAUGACUGCCCUAUGGGUUGUAAACUUCUUUUGUUCGGGAAUAAAGUGCAGUAUGUAUACUGUUUUGUAUGUACCGUUCGAAUAAGCAUCGGCUAAUUCCGUGCCAGCAGCCGCGGUAAGAC